rnacentral:rRNA from 1 species
CAAUAGCGUAUAUUAAAGUUGUUGCAGUUAAAAAGCUCGUAGUUGGAUUUCUGGUGAGAUGGAUUAUGUCUAGGUCGAGAGAUCUUGUUCAUGGUUCGUUUUGCCCUUCUUGUCAGGAACCCGCUGAGAUUCGCGUCUUGUCGGUGGAAUGGCAUCGUUUACUGUGAAAAAAUUAGAGUGUUCAAAGCAGGCAUCGCCGUUGAAUACAUUAGCAUGGAAUAAUAAGAUAAGACUUUGGUGGUCUAUUUUGUUGGUUUGCACGCCAAGGUAAUGAUUAAUAGGGAUAGUUGGGGGUAUUCGUAUUCUAUUGCUAGAGGUGAAAUUCUUAAAUUUAUGGAAGACGAACUACUGCGAAAGCAUUUACCAAGGAUGUUUUCAUUAA